rnacentral:rRNA from 1 species
CAGUCGCCGCGGGAAUACAGAGGGUGCUAGCGUUAAUCGGAUUUACUGGGCGUAAAGCGUGCGUAGGCGGCUUUUUAAGUCGGAUGUGAAAUCCCUGAGCUUAACUUAGGAAUUGCAUUCGAUACUGGGAAGCUAGAGUAUGGGAGAGGAUGGUAGAAUUCCAGGUGUAGCGGUGAAAUGCGUAGAGAUCUGGAGGAAUACCGAUGGCGAAGGCAGCCAUCUGGCCUAAUACUGACGCUGAGGUACGAAAGCAUGGGGAGCAAACAGGAUUAGAUACCCCAGUAGUCCCUGUCUCUUAUAC